rnacentral:rRNA from 1 species
UACGUAGGUGGCGAGCGUUGUCCGGAUUUACUGGGCGUAAAGAGCGCGCAGGCGGUCGUGCAAGUCGCGUGUGAAAGCCCCCGGCUCAACUGGGGAGGGUCACGCGAUACUGUUCGACUCGAAGGCAGGAGAGGGAAGUGGAAUUCCCGGUGUAGUGGUGAAAUGCGUAGAUAUCAGGAGGAACACCUGUGGUGUAGACAGCUUACUGGACCAUUUCUGACGCUGAGACACGAAAGCGUGGGUAGCAAACAGG